AAAUUUUUAGUUUAUAAAAAAAUUUUAAAUUGCAAAUUUAAAGAAGUAUAAUAUUACAAAAUUUU
rnacentral:tRNA from 1 species